rnacentral:tRNA from 1 species
GCAGUGUUGAUUUAGUGGUAGAAUUCUUGCCUUCCAUGCUGGAGAUCUGGGUGUAAUUCCCAGCCAACGUA